rnacentral:lncRNA from 1 species
AGUACUAGGGUGGAGGACAUGCCCAGACUGAGAUCAGGCUGUGGAGAAGCAAAAGGGAGAGCGGGGGCCAGACAAAGAGUCAAGGUUUGAAGGUACAUGGAUGUGGGAAGACCGGGUGUCAGGAGGAACUUCGAGCGGCGGGAAGGGGCUAUUCUAAGAUUCUCGUUCUGGGGGGUGGUCUUUUCCUGCUGGGACCCGGGCAUCCUAGAUGUUGAACAAGCAUAGGAUAUCCUUGGAGUUCCCUGCUGGCUCAGCAGUUUAAGGAUCUGGCAUUGUCACUGCUGUGGCAAGGGUUGCCUCUGUGGAGAGGGUUUGAUCCUUGGCCAGAAAACUUCUGUAUGCCGUGGGCACAACAGAAAAAAGAGUAGAAAUAUCUGCUAGAGUAAAUUCAGACUGUGGAUGAGAGUGCCUUUGUAGUUUGAAGGCACGCAUGGAUCCCCCUUGGGGAGAAGGGGUACAUGUUGCGGGGGGAUGAGGAGUCCUCUUUGUAGGCCCCUCGCAUUUCAGCGGCAGCCCUUCCCAGCUGCUCAGCAUACAGAUGUUAAUCCAUCUAUUCCCUUACUGCUUGUUCUCCCUCCUGCCUUCCCCACUGACACCCACCCCUGCAAAUGAGGCCAGGGGUCUUCAGGGACUUCUGUCUAGGAGGUGGCUGAGUUCCUGAUGAUUCCUGCUGCAGCUUCUUGCCCCCCUGCCCUUGCCUCUCCCCCUGCACUGAUGCUGUGAGAGCAGAAGAAGCAGACCUGGACCAGGAGCCAGGAGGCCUGUAGCCAAACCCCAGCUCCUCCCGUGGCAAUGUCACCUGCCUUCUCUGGGUACCUGUCCCCUGGGGAGAAAAAUAAUCCUUGCCUCUCUCCCUGGGCUGCUGUGGGAAUUCCAAGCAAAAUAAUGGCUGGAAAAGUGAUGUGUGCACAAAUGGGAAGGAUUAUUAAUACUAUUAUGUGUUGUUUCUGAAGGCACAACAGAAUGUGAGCAAUCAAGCCCAUCCGGCUCCUCCCCAAGAGCCCACUUCCUCCUCACUUCCGCAGUCCACCCAGGCUUUGCGAAGGCUCAAAUCCUCUCCCCGCCCCACUUCCUACACCCGAACCCCCCUAAUUAAGUCCUUUACCUUCCUGAGUAUCACUGUCUAAUCCCUAAGCCCUUUCUCACCAGUCUCCAGUUGUCUCUGGGAGUCAAAUCCCUUUAGAACGAGGUGGCCCAGUUAGCUGUGAACCAAGAGGCUGGGGGCAGGGAGCAGGCAUUUCAGGAGUCCCUGAGGUGACAGGGGGAGGGGAGGGCAGGGCAGUAGGGAAACUGAAGACCCUGCCUCGGCUCUGGCACUAGCUGGCAUGAGCCUGGAGGCUUCCUCUUGAGGGUGUGGAUUGUCAUUUCUACCCACACUUCCUGCAUCCAAGACAGAAUCCACCAGGUUCAACAGCCAGACUUGCUCUCUGCCUUUCAGAAGCUGAAGGGCACAAGGUGAACCCACCGACUCCGCAGCUAGAUUCGCUGAGUUCAGCUUCAGAUGCCAGCACCUAGGAAGGUUACUUGACCUCUGGGCCCCAGUUUUUCCCUUCCAUCUGAUGGCAAUAGCACACAACCUCAUGAGCUAGUGAUGAGAUUAACUGAGCUGCUUUAUGCAGUUCACCUGAUGGCUUCCUGGAACAGUGUACACAUUGGCUGUUUUACUUGAACUUCCUCUUUUUUCCUCCAGAUAUUUUUGCCAUUCAGGGCUUAACCCUCACCACGCCCUUCUUGGAGAGGCCCUCUUUCCCUGGCACAGAAGCUGAAGCAGCCCCCAGCCCCAGUCACUCUCUAAUGUUAAUGUAUCUUCUCCUCAUGGCACUCAUCACACUCUGAAAUCCAUGGUUACGGCUGACCAUCUAUUCUCAAGGGCAGGAGCCAUUGCUGGUCAUGGUCACGGCUACAUGCCCAGUGCCUAGAACUCUGCUGGCAGUGGACAUCCAUUUGUGGGCCUGACCCAACACUCGCUCUGCCCCCUGAGGGCUGGACUCUGAUCACCCCAAUUACCCCUUCACUCUGCUCCCCCCUUCCCCAGACCACAAUCACACAGCUGCUCUGCACCUGCCCUGUGAGACCCUAGGUGAGUCAUCGCCCCUCGCUGCGUUUCUGGAGGGAGGUAACAGUGAAACCAGGCAACCAAGAGACAGUCUAAGAGUUUUCUAAGAUGAUUUGUUUUGUGUUCUGGGGCUCAUGCCCAGAAGGUGAAGAGAUCUCAGGCACCUCUGAGUUCUGAAAAUGCAUCCCACCACAGCCUAGCUCUCUUGCUGCAACUGGGCUUGAAGCCCUGGUGGGUGGUGUCUGGCAUGGCCUUCCUCCAGGCCCCUUUGUGAAAACAGCAGAGACCAACACUGGGUCCCAGUGUGGCCCUUUCUGGGGACUAGCCUGCCACCUAGUGGCAGUUUCAUCACAUUGCCCCUCUUCCAUAGCAAGGGCCAAGGUUUGUGCUCACUGGAGCACAUCCUUACUCUGAAUAUGGACCUGCCUUACCUGACAGUGUGGCCGCAUAGAAUGCUUGUCCAUUUCACGCACAGCCUGGAACCACAGUGGAGAAUUCAUUUCACAGCAGAGGGAGAGCAGCCCAUGGACUUCACCAGCCUCACCACACACCCCAUUCCUGGUACCAAGUCUGAGACUUUCCCUGCCCCUACCCCAUUAGCUCUUGGGGUAAGGCACCCCAUGCCUCACACUUGCACUAACAGCUUCAUUUCUUCCUCUGUCAUCAUGCAACUUUAGGAGGAAAGAUGGGGGGUGUGGGGUCCUCUUCCACGCAGUUCACAGCCUAGACCAGGGCCAAGAAACCUUGUAUUCAAAGCCCCUUGGGGUAACAGUGUGCCUGAGGAAAGCCCCACCCCCACCCCAGUCAUUUAGUCCAGCUCCCAGUUGGGGACACAGGCCAAGAGAAGGAAGCGGUUUGCCUGGAUGCACAUGGUGAAACAGUGAUGGCUCUAUCCCUACCAGGUCCCUGCCCUGCCCCAGAAGUGAAGCAAACUGGGAUUAAGGGGAGCCCGCAGGGCUGAGCAUCCUGUCUGUGCAUGCCUGGGAUUGGAGUGGCCUGAGGGUCAGCAGCAGGCCCAGUGACCUGCCUGCUCUCCCAGCUGGGAUCCCUUCCUUCCCUGUGGGCUCCUCUGGUCUCCUGUCUUUGGAUGUUCUGCUCCCAAGCAGGGCCUCUCCAGGCAUUCAUCUGCCUUCAGUCAAUCUCCAGUCCUUUGCGGCCUCUGUUCCUGGGCUUCCCCUCCCAUCAGCGGCUAUGCUGAUCUCUACUGCUCCUCUUCCCCACCCCCAACCCCACCCCACCCCACCCCACCCAGCAGCAGAAGGGCUUGGGCUGGGCCAGUCUCCCCUCCCACGUUGAGACUAUAUCCUCAAGCUUUUGUCUCUUCCAGGAUCACCAGUGUUACCCAGUGGGAGGACAGACCACAGGGUAACUCUGAUCACUUGCCAAGUUUGCAGCAGCCCUCAGGCUCCCACUGAUAGAAGGCUAAGAUGUGGAUAUUUGUGGGGAGGCAGAGAUGCGUUCUGGGUGGGGGACAGGUGUGAGCUAGGAUCUGCCUCUGGUAGGGGUGUGUGUGUUGGGAGGCAGCGAGGACCCCCGCCUGGGGCAGGUGGGGUGUGGGUAGGGAGUAACAGCUGUAGGAAGACAGUGGAGCCCAGCUGAUUACAGGUUAUAUGUCCUUGUAACCAUGUCAUUAGGGCUGACAGAUGGGCUGAGACACUUACAGAAUCGGAGAAGCUAGACCCCAUGGACAACAAGAAGCCUCUACAGCGCCUUUUGCAACUUAGAAAGAAUGAUUUCUUACAUACAGAAGUAUGUUAGAAACCUACACAAAUAGAGAGUGAGGACUUCCCACUGUGGCACAGUGGCUUAAGGAUCCUGCAUUGCUGCACCUGUGGCUCAGAUUUGAUCCCUGGCCUGGGAACUACCAUAUGCCAAGGGUGCAGCCAAAAAAGAAAAAAAGAAUAAAGAAUGAUAUAUCACUCAUGUGACUUUAAAAGUAGAACUUCAGGAAGUUCCUGUUGUGGCUCAGUGGUAAUGACUAGUGUCCAUGAGGAUGGGGGUUCGAUCCCUGGCCUCACUCAGUGGGUUAAGGACCCGGUGUGUCGUGAGCUGUGGUAUAGGUCACAGACUCAGCUUGGAUUCUGAGUUGCUGUGGCUGUGGCAUAGGGCUACAGCUGUAGCUCUAAUUCAACCUCUAGCCUGGGAACUUACAUGUGCCAAGGGUGUGGCC